UUCUCUCUCUCUUUUUUCUCAUUUGUGUAAGAGUUCUGAAGCAUUAUUCCUAAGUGGUUAAGAUUAAAUCCUUGAUUUAAAGCUCAAUUAAAUUUAAUAUCCCUUCAAUUUCAUCGCAAGAUCAACACGGGUUUGGAUUAUACACUUUGCUACUGGUGCUUUUGGUAUCUGGUCAGGAAAGAAACUACAAGAUGAUGCUAAAAAGGAAAUUGUGACAAAUAUCCAAAUGAAUGAGGAGGAGAUGAAAUCUGCAGAAUUUAAUUUGCCAACUAAAGAGGAACUUGGAGAGGAGAAGCUUAGGCCUGACAUACAAUCUUCAAAGAAGCAUAAAAGAGAGGGUUUUAGUUGUCGGGUACUUUCCAAUUUUAAGGGUGGAGGAAGGAGGGACUGCCGAGGAAGGAUUACGUUGAGCAACUUCAGUUGGAUUUGAGUUCUUACUACGGUUACAAUGAAACAUAUCCUUGCAGGCAAAUAUGGAGCUGCUCUAGCAGUUUAAGAGCCUAAAGAGGUAAAUGCCUUGUCAAUUAAAAAUAUGGAGACCGGUAGUAUUUGAUGUUUAGGGCAUUUGGUUUUAACAUUUACACCUAUCAAGACUAUCAGUCAACUAGGGCAGUUCAUUAGUUAGUUGUGAUUAUAUUUCAAAGGAUAGACGCAUGAUAACUUUUGGGUGGUACAUUUCAAACACUUUGUGGAUGCUUUGAAGAUACAUCAUAUAGUAUUGUGCCUUUUUUUUUCUUUCAUUGGGGCGUCCUUUUCAAUAUAAAUGCAAGAUUGAAUGUUUAUACUAGAUUGUAGUGUUAUUAUCCCCAAGUGACAAAUCUUAUUUGUCUUCUUUUCUGGCCUCUAUUUCCAAACGGGAAAUGCAAGCAUGCUUGACUAUCUGCUAGAGUAAUAGAGCCAGCGCACAAA